GACCGCGUAGCUCAGUUGGAAGAGCAUUGGGCUAGUAUUCCAAAGGUCGUAGGUUCGAAUCCAGCCGUGGCCA
rnacentral:tRNA from 1 species